CAGCCGCCGCGGUAAUACGUAGGGUCCGAGCGUUGUCCGGAAUUAUUGGGCGUAAAGAGCUCGUAGGCGGUCUGUCGCGUCUGCCGUGAAAUCCUCAGGCUCAACCUGAGGCGUGCGGUGGGUACGGGCAGGCUAGAGUGCGGUAGGGGAGAAUGGAACUCCUGGUGUAGCGGUGGAAUGCGCAGAUAUCAGGAAGAACACCGAUGGCGAAGGCAGUUCUCUGGGCCGUAACUGACGCUGAGGAGCGAAAGCGUGGGGAGCGAACAGGAUUAGAUACCGGGUAGUCCCUGUCUCUUAUACA
rnacentral:rRNA from 1 species